UUCAACGACUAUACCACGUUGAAAACACUGGAUUUCAUCCGAUCACCGAAAUUAAGCAACGUCAGGCAUAGUUAGUACUUAGAUGUGAGACCGCUUGAAAACGCUAUGUGCCUUUGGCA
rnacentral:rRNA from 1 species